rnacentral:lncRNA from 1 species
GAGAAUGGCAACGUGACCCUGCACUGCGUGAGUCCCACCCCAGACAUACAGCUUGUUCUCAGAAAGGGAGGCGUUAUUUUGGAUUCCAGGCUUCCACAUCAUUUGACACAGGCGACAGCUGAGUUUCGUCUGACGAAUCUGCGGCAGGCUGAUGCUGGAUAUUACACCUGUGAAUACUAUCUAAAAACGUCCCCCGAUAGAAUCUCACCUUCCAGUGAUGGGCUCUUACUAUUGGUCACAGGAUACUUGUAUAAGCCUUCCCUCCGAGUCAACCACUCGGGCC